AAGACGCGGACUGGGAUGCGAUCAGCCAGGCUCCGGCCCUGGCCGGCAUGCACUGGUUCGGCACCGACGCGUCGGGCC
rnacentral:tRNA from 1 species